CAGCAGUAGCCACGGGAACACGUAGGUGGCAAGCGUUGUCCGGAAUUAUUGGGCGUAAAGGGCUCGCAGGCGGUUUCUUAAGUCUGAUGUGAAAGCCCCCGGCUCAACCGGGGAGGGUCAUUGGAAACUGGGAAACUUGAGUGCAGAAGAGGAGAGUGGAAUUUCGUGCGGAGGGAUCAAAUCCUAAGAUAUACGAAGGAACGCCAACCACGAAGGCAGCUCUCUGGGUCCCCACUGACGCUGGGGUGCGAAAGCAUGGGGAGGAAACAGGAUCAGAUACCCCCGUAGUCCCUGUCUCUUAUAC
rnacentral:rRNA from 1 species